CCUGCCAUUUAGAUCUUAAGUUCCCCACUCAAAGCAGCCUCUGGCAAUACGACAAAUGAAUUUAUAGCUGUUUGCUUAUGAAAUAACGCGCAUGUACAAGCAUACACAUGCAUUUCACCAAAGUAACUUAAAGAACAGAACAAAGGCAAGUAAAGUGUCCGACUUGCUAUGGAACAUAUCCUCCUAAAUCAUUUAAGCCUGAAAUACUGAAAAUAAUUCUAUGUAUACAAUUCUUGGUAGCUGCUAAACUGAGAGUUAUACUUUAAAAUGUUAUCCUGUUUUCCCACAGUUCAUACUCAUUUAUUUCACAUUUCUUGGCUGAGUUCUGUAGCUAGCAAAAAAGGCAUUACAAAAAUUAACUUCCUCUUGCACAACAAUUUCUGACAGGCUGGACUAUCUUCUACAGAUGGUAAGGCUGUGAGAUUUACACAUGGGUAAGGAUCAAGCUUUUUCAAGAUUUAAGCAGACUAAGGAUCAAGGAAAACUUCAGCGUGAGGAUGGCUAUACUCAUGUCAGAGAGUUUUUGCUGGCCUAGUUAACUCCACGGGGUGAAUGGCAUAAUCACCUUUAGUACACAGUCUACGCUGAGGGGCUCAGCACAGUUCUGACACUAUUGCUGAGCGCUGCACAUCCACAACAGAGCACUGCUAUCAACGGGAUGUUCACGGCUACAGAAGAAAUUUUAGUAAUGGAUCACACUGAUGAUACCCUUAAGUAUCACACAGAUGCAGACCUGAGACCUUAGACAGUUUGAACAUUUCUCACGAAUGACUGAAAAUACCUAGGUGGUCUGCAAGCACCUUCCUCAGCUGUAUUAUAUUCAACAGUGCAGUUAAAACAAUAGUUAAACAACUAAUCUAGCUAUGAAAAAAUCAAUUUAAAGCAGUAACAAUAACAUUUCAUGGUCUUUUUAUACUCUGUUAUAUUAUAGCAUAUUAAGGAGAUGCUCUACAACCAUCUUUGAAGAAGGGGCAGAAAAUCACAAUGCGCGUUGCUGUUUUGUUGUCUGUCCUUAAAAGACAUGUAAGCAAUCUAAAACCAUAUUCACCUGCCUUUCACUACUGCAGAUAGAAGCGACCACAACAAGAGAAUUUUCUGUAAAUAAAUACA